CUUGAAGUUCUCCUCGAUCCGCUUGGGAUUGGAUGACUUGGGCAGGGGAAUGGUUCCAAUCUCAAUCUGUGUGGACAAACAAGAUCCAGUUCAAGGAUGUCUUUACAGUUUGAAAAAUUGUCAGCGAGGAACUAUUAGCAGAUGGGAAAGGAUCCGACGGAAAGUCCACACGAGCGUAUCAAUACAAGGAGCAAAACAAUAUUAAAUAUCAUGAACGCCAAUUGUCGCAAUUCGUCUGGGCCGGAAAAUUAGUUUGUCACCCAAGAGCAACCAAGUCUAGUUUUUGAAGGAGUUCAUCUUGAA